AUACGGAGGGUGCAAGCGUUACUGGGAAUCACUGGGCGUAAAGCGCGCGCAGGCGGUCUUUUAAGUUGGAUGUGAAAGCCUACGGCUCAACCGUAGAACUGCAUCCAAAACUAUUAGACUAGAGUGUGGGAGAGGAAGAUGGAAUUAGUUGUGUAGGGGUAAAAUCCGUAGAGAUAACUAGGAAUACCAAAAGCGAAGGCGAUCUUCUGGAACAGUACUGACGCUGAGGCGCGAAAGCGUGGGGAGCAAACAGGAUUAGAAACCCCGGUAGUCC
rnacentral:rRNA from 1 species